UACCAGCACCCCGAGUGGUCGGGACGAUUAUUGGGCCUAAAGCAUCCGUAGCCGGUCAUGCAAGUCCUCCGUUAAAUCCACCUGCUUAACAGAUGGGCUGCGGAAGAUACUAUGGAGCUAGGAGGCGGGAGAGGCAAGCGGUACUCGAUGGGUAGGGGUAAAAUCCGUUGAUCCAUUGAAGACCACCAGUGGCGAAGGCGGCUUGCCAGAACGCGCUCGACGGUGAGGGAUGAAAGCUGGGGGAGCAAACCGG
rnacentral:rRNA from 1 species